AUCCGAUGAGGGAUGCCAAGUUUGGUUCGUGGCGCUCCAGGUCCUUUCAGUGUUGCAGAUGGUGAAGGGGCUGAGGCAGACUGCUGAACAGUCACCUGGAAAAGGCUGGCUUUAUGAAGGAGAAAAGAGAAACAGAGAAUGAGAUGCGCACCCCUACAGACACGGUGUUCGUUCCUCAACAGCAAGGGAUGGGGCUGCCUCAGACCCCUCGUGGGAGAUCUGCUGAUUGAAAUAUCUUGCUAUCACCAGCAGCUCCCUCUGCCACCAAAGGGAGAUCUCCAUUUUGCAGAGGUGUGCUCUGCUCUGGCGAGGUCUACAGGCCAGUCUGCUGCAGGGACUCCCCAGCAGAAGCCUGAGCGAUGUGGGUUCGGCUGUGUUUGACAGGGCACGUGGCUGGGAGGCCGGAGGUGGAACAUGGAUGGAGGUCCUACAGGCAGGGCUGGAGGUAAAACAGGCCACACUGUCUCAAAAACGUAUAUUUUGCAAAGCUAUACACAGUCCUACAAGAUUUUGUCCAAUUAACUCAGGCCUAAGAGAGAAUAAAGAAGUGGAUUUCUCUUUUUAAUAGAGUAUAGAAGGUACUUUUUCAAAUAAAUUUCAAGGCCGACCAUUUUGCAUUAGAAUGUUGCUGAUAGCUGCAGUAUAUAUAAAUAUUAUAGGAAACCUAUUGAAGUGAUUCAUGGCGUACUAUUGAUCUAAUCAGAUUUAACUAAGUGUUUGCAUCACGCCUUAUUAAUCACAGAUAAUAGGGCUCUUAGGACACAUUGCAGAAUCAGGCCUUUUCUUUCCGCUAGUGAAAUGUUUGCUUCCACAGUGGGCAGGCAGGGGCCGAAGAUUCUGGCUGUAUCUUGCUGGGACCACUGUAGUCCAUGGAACUUUCCAUGGGAUGAACUUUGCUAGGUCUGUUGAUGCUCUGAACCGCUGAUGGAGGGGUAUUGCUCUGCUCAGCAAUUGAUGUCAGCUUAGGAAGGUUCUCCAGUGUUCACUGGGAAAUGAUUACGAGAUGAGCUGGUGUUCUGUGAAUCGUGGUGCUCGAUGUUACCAAUGGGACUCUUCCCUCUGCAGCCCAUGCCUGUCCCCAGCCCCGUUCUGCCUCUUUGGUUUAUGAAUUCUGUGCUUGUCUGUGCCAGGAUAAGUUCUGUGAUGUUACUUUUCAUGUGUGAUCCUGAUCCCUGGAGUCCCCUUUCUGUCGGUGCUGUAACAGAGGCCCCAUCUCGGUGGUCGCAUACAGAGCAGUUUGAUAAGGAGCAGCGAUGGGCUGGAGGAUAACACCAUUAGCAGGCGUUAUCAUCACUGGUGUUACUGCAUGGAACAGAAAAUUGAGCACAGGGUGGGACCCGCUUUGCUGCCUCUAGGCUUGCAAUGAGCUGGUUUGGGGAAUCUGAUGUCUGUGACUUGUGAUAUGCAGUUGUGCAGGCAAAGCUGCAUCGCACCAGUCUGAUUCCUGUGCU
rnacentral:lncRNA from 7 species